ACUUACAAUCAUAUCAACACUAGUGCACCAAACCUCAUAAGAACUCUUCAGUUAAGUGUGUUUAAGCGAGGGCAGUACUAAAAUAGGUGAUCUCAUAUGAAGUUCAUGUGUUGUAACUCU